rnacentral:rRNA from 1 species
UACAGGGGGUGCAAACGUUGCUCGGAAUUAUUGGGCGUAAAGCGCGCGUAGGCGGCUACUUAUGUCGGAUGUGAAAGCCCUUGGCUCAACUGAGGAAGUGCACCCGAAACUGAGUAGCUGGAGUACGAAAGAGGGUCGCGGAAUUCCCGGUGUAGAGGUGAAAUUCGUAAAUAUCGGGAGGAACACCGGUGGCGAAGGCGGCGACCUGGGUCGAUACUGACGCUGAGGCGCGAAAGCGUGGGGAGCAAACAGG